GACAGAGGGUGCAAACGUUGUUCGGAAUUACUGGGCGUAAAGCGCGUGUAGGCGGCUCGGCAAGUCGGGUGUGAAAGCCCUGGGCUUAACCUAGGAAGUGCACUCGAAACUGCCAAGCUUGAGUUCUGGAGAGGAAGGCGGAAUUCUCGGUGUAGAGGUGAAAUUCGUAGAUAUCGAGAGGAAGACCGGUGGCGAAGGCGGCCUUCUGGACAGCAACUGACGCUGAGGCGCGAAGGCGUGGGGAGCAAACAGG
rnacentral:rRNA from 1 species